UACGAAGGGGGCUAGCGUUGCUCGGAAUUACUGGGCGUAAAGGGCGCGUAGGCGGCCAGCACAAGUCAGUUGUGAAAUCUCCGAGCUUAACUCGGAAAGGUCAACUGAUACUGUGCGGCUAGAGUGCGGAAGGGGCAACUGGAAUUCUUGGUGUAGCGGUGAAAUGCGUAGAUAUCAAGAGGAACACCUGCGGCGAAGGCGGGUUGCUGGGCCGACACUGACGCUGAUGCGCGAAAGCUAGGGGAGCGAACGGG
rnacentral:rRNA from 1 species